rnacentral:tRNA from 2 species
AGGAACUUAGGAUAACACCAGACCAAGAGCCUUCAAAGCUCUAAGUAGAAGUGAAAAUCUUCUAGUCCCUG